CCUACGGGCGGCAGCAGUGGGGAAUAUUGCACAAUGGGGGAAACCCUGAUGCAGCGACGCCGCGUGAAGGAAGAAGUAUCUCGGUAUGUAAACUUCUAUCAGCAGGGAAGAUAAUGACGGUACCUGACUAAGAAGCCCCGGCUAACUACGUGCCAGCAGCCGCGGUAAUACGUAGGGGGCAAGCGUUAUCCGGAUUUACUGGGUGUAAAGGGAGCGUAGACGGCGCAGCAAGUCUGAUGUGAAAGGCAGGGGCUUAACCCCUGGACUGCAUUGGAAACUGCUGUGCUUGAGUGCCGGAGGGGUAAGCGGAAUUCCUAGUGUAGCGGUGAAAUGCGUAGAUAUUAGGAAGAACACCAGUGGCGAAGGCGGCCUGCUAAGCUGCAACUGACAUUGAGGCUCGAAAGUGUGGGUAUCAAACAGGAUU
rnacentral:rRNA from 1 species